GAAGUAGUGGUGCAGAGGCAUUGGCAAGGAGUCAGGAAUAUGGUCAGUUUAAGAAAUCAGUUGAUGACUGUCUUACCCAGUCGAAGGUGGGAAUAUAUCACAAUAUGAUGGAGUCUGUAGGGGCCAUCAUGGCGCAUAAUCAUAUCUUUGGAACUGGUUUUCGAGUUGGUUCCAAAUAUAUUAUGACAGCAAGCCAUUUGAUAACUGAGAUUCUUGAUCCCUAUAAAUCAGGAGAGGUAUCUGCACAAUAUUUGCAGAAUGCUUACAUUAGUUUUGCCGAGCAUCCAACAGAUCGCUCUGACGUCAUAUUUAAGUUAAAACAAGUUGUUUAUUUCAACGAGAAGCUUGACAUUGCAAUUCUGGAAAUUUUAUAUCCUGAUCAACGCCUUCCCAAAAAGCUAUUUAUUCGAAGAGAGCAUUUUCAUGAUAUUGAGUAUCUGUCACUUUUUGGCUAUGGUCAUCCAAAAGAUCCCAGAA